CUGGCCUCUUUGGGCGUUGGCUCCUUUGCUUUCAUAUGCUUUUUGUGCAUAGUCAUCAUGGCACCCACAGGACAAGCUCCUCAAAAGAGCUUGGCGUUUUUGGAGGAACAUAUUCUAUUGAUGUGUCCACCCCACUUCAGCUGUUUUUCUAACUCUGGUUUCCUGGCUCAUAAAGAAGAAACAAUUUGAGGGCGUGGCAUUCCUGAUGACUCUCAGCGGGAUGCCAACUGAUGUCAACUCCCAGGUACAGGGAAUGGGAACUGUGGGUGGAAGACGGCAGAGCCUCUGUCAGCUGUGUCCAAAAUGGCUGUGUGAACCGCAUUCUGACUCCUCGGCUCCCUACCACAUCCCCUGCCCCCGAUCACCAGUCUCUGCCAUUGGGCUUUACUUUCAUUGAUGACCUUGGCAUAUCCAAGAUUAAUGAAGACGAAUCCGCGUCCUUACUACUAAGCAAAGAGCCUCCAAGCAAAUGAUUGUGGACCAGAGAGCUAUCUUCAUAGCCAUAAAAAGUACUUUUCAAAUAAGAGAUGUCAAAUGAGCCAAUUGCGUGCUAGAUACAGGAGACCACUAGUGCUCCCUAAAGUGCUGGGCUUCCUUGCUGUGUUAUUUAUUGAUGAACAUUGGGGAACCAGAGAUGACAAGAAGAAAGGAAGAGCAGGAAGCCAAUAACAUGGCCAGUGCAUUGGAGCUGGCCAACUCCGAGCUAUCACUGAGACUUGGUAAUGAUAUGAAGGGAUGGGCAAUUCCAGGGCUGCACCCCGCACUGGGGGUCUGCUGGAUGGUGCUUUGAGGAUGACCCUAAUCCCAGAUCACACCAAAGUAUUCCAGUUUUGAUGGCAAGUUUUCUAGGUAUCCAAAGUGAUGGCUGCAAUCCACGAUGACAGAG
rnacentral:lncRNA from 1 species